GACGUAGGGGGCAAGCGUUGUCCGGAUUUAUUGGGCGUAAAGGGCUUGUAGGUGGGAUUGCAAGUCGCGGAGUAAAUCCCCUGGCUCAACUGGGGGCUCAUCCAGCGAUACUGCGAUUCUUGAGAGCAGGAGAGGAAAGUGGAAUUCCCGGUGUAGCGGUGAAAUGCGUAGAGAUCGGGAGGAACACCAGUGGCGAAGGCGGCUUUCUGGCCUGAUUCUGACACUGAGGAGCGAAAGCCAGGGGAGCAAACGGG
rnacentral:rRNA from 1 species